rnacentral:rRNA from 1 species
UACAGAGACUGCAAGCGUUAUUCGGAUUCACUGGGCGUAAAUGGUGCGCAGGCGGCCGAGUGUGUGAGGCGUGAAAGCCCGGGGCUUAACCCCGGAAUUGCACCUCAAACUACACGGCUAGAGCAUUGGAGAGGGUAGCAGAAUUCAUGGUGUAGCAGUGAAAUGCGUAGAUAUCAUGAGGAAUACCAGAGGCGAAGGCGGCUACCUGGACAAUUGCUGACGCUCAGGCACGAAAGCGUGGGGAGCAAAAGGG